rnacentral:lncRNA from 1 species
AAAAUCCAUACCUUUGAAACCCUGUCUUUAAACCCAGAAAUUUGAGUAUGUUACAGCACGAUAGCAAUGACCAUGUUAUCUCCCCAUUCUUUGAAGCCGGCACAAAAAUACAAGAAUUACACGCGACACUGACACUGCAGGGGCGACGUUAGGAACUGGAAGCUUAGGGCUUGUACCUGCAACACCCGCUCUGCCGCUGAUGGCGCGGGAUGGCAAGGCUCGCCCCGCAAAAACGGCAGAAAGACAAGUACAAGACGUUAUACCUCUAGCUACAUCGAGAAUUUAGAUAGCCAGUUAUGUUUUAGCUUGCCAUGCAAUACUCGUCGUCAAAAGCAACGAAUUUUUGCAUUUUGUCCAGCCAAAGCGCCUUACGGACCCGGGACAGGCCGAGUUGUGAGAUUAGUGUUCGUGGGCGCUGGCUUCACAGGUGCCUCUUGGUAGUGCGCCAAGGUGCACGCUAGGCUAAUGACCUCACCAUGAUGAGAUUGCAUUGCAGUCGCGAAUACCUGGAAAUUUCGUUUCGUGUCAUGCAGUAGACUUGGUGGGAAGCAGAAAUCCCUCGACGCCGCAGCAUCAGCCCUCGCAAAGAUAGAGAAGUUCCACCUGCAAGUAGGUCGAACGUAGCGCUGGUCUUGACGCCUCAAUCUGCUGGUGUGGCAUCUGUUCCCGGGUGCGCGAUAGGUUCUUUCGCUCCGCUACCGUACUGUACAACGCUCCACACGAAGCAUACGGUAUACCCAACCUGGUUACAACUUCCAAUUCGCGCAGGACACCCUGGCCGUACUCAUAGUGAUGUCAGAGCGGUCGCCAACAAUGGUGGAAACGCAGGUGGGACUUUGGCUGCACCUGACCAGCUUACGAGGUGU